GACGAACGCUGGCGGCGUGCUUAACACAUGCAAGUCGAACGGAAAGGCCCUGCUUUUGUGGGGUGCUCGAGUGGCGAACGGGUGAGUAACACGUGAGUAACCUGCCCUUGACUUUGGGAUAACUUCAGGAAACUGGGCUAAUACCGGAUUAGAGCUCCCGCCGGAUGGGUGGGGUUGGGAAGGUUUCGCCGUUGGGGGUUGGACUCCCGCGUUAUCAGCUUGUUGUUGGGGUGGUGGUUUCCCAUGGCUUUGACGGGUAGCCGGCCUGAGAGGGUGACCGGCCACAUUGGGACUGAGAUACGGCCCAGACUCCUACGGGAGGCAGCAGUGGGGAAUAUUGCACAAUGGGCGGAAGCCUGAUGCAGCAACGCCGCGUGCGGGAUGACGGCCUUCGGGUUGUAAACCGCUUUCGCCUGUGACGAAGCGUGAGUGACGGUAAUGGGUAAAGAAGCACCGGCUAACUACGUG
rnacentral:rRNA from 1 species